rfam:Synechococcus sp. PCC 7335 scf_1103496006895 genomic scaffold, whole genome shotgun sequence.
GGCUCGGACCCGCGCAAUUACAACGCCUAAAUCUUGUCAGGACCGGAAGGUAGCAGCAAUACGGGAUGCUUGUAAUAGGCGCGGACUUCGGGCCUCUU